AUUAUAAACAUGACGUCUUUUCAGUCCGUUUCAAGGAAUGGCAGAAGCUCCUUUGUUUGUAAACAAGGAGCGCUAUAUUGUGCGACAAGGACAGCAAUAGCGAUUAGUUGCACCGUUUCACCGCUACGUGGUGAUAGUGGAAUGCUUCAAAAACGGAGCAUGCUGACGCGGUGGAAGAUCGACACCGGCGAACACUGACCUCCCUCUACUACUUGAGCUGUGUCCUUGGCCUUGAAACGAGAACGUGUUUCGGGAGAUGAAAUCCAACCGCACAGGUGGAACGAUAAUUGCUCGGCCGUCAUAGCGAACGUAAGGCUUACCUUUACUUUCGCUCCGUUACGGAAUCGGAGAACUUCCACACGAACAGUAGAGUCAUCGUGUUAAGUAACGCGAGACGUCUUCUUCUCUC
rnacentral:misc_RNA from 1 species